rnacentral:rRNA from 1 species
CAGCUCCAAUAGCGUAUAUUAAAGUUGUUGCAGUUAAAAAGCUCGUAGUUGGAUUUCGGAAGGUCCUUAGUAAUCCGCCCCUUCGGGGAGCGGGUUGCUGGCCUCCUAUGUUCCUAACGGUCCUCAUCCGCGAGGGUGGGGAAUCAACCGCUAGGAUCGUUUACUUUGAGGAAAUUAGAGUGUUCAAAGCAGGCGUAACUCGCCUCCGAAUACGUUAGCAUGGGAUAAUGGAAUACGACUUCGGUCUUGUUUCGUUGGUUUCGCUUGGCUGAAGUAAUGAUUGAUAGGGACAGUUGGGGGCAUUAGUAUUUAGUUGUCAGAGGUGAAAUUCUAGGAUUUACUAAAGACUGACCAAUGCGAAAGCAUUUGCCAAGGACGUUUUCACUAAUCAAGAACGAAAGUAGGGGGAUCGAAGACGAUUAGAUACCGUCGUAGUCUUAACCAUAAACGAUGCCGACUAGGGAUCGGCGGGGGACGUUUAGCGUUCUCGCCGGGACCUUGCGAGAAAUCAAAGUUUUUGGGUUCUGGGGGGAGUAUGGUCGCAAGGCUGAAACUUAAAGGAAUUGACGGAAGGGCACCACCAGGAGUGGAGCCUGCGGCUUAAUUCGACUCAAC